rnacentral:lncRNA from 1 species
AAGAAUCUUGUGGAGCAUCAAUCAAUAGUAAUGUCUACAUGCAAAAUCAUAUGAAAUCUUGCGGAGCAUCAAUCAAUAGUAAUGCCUACAAAAAUCAUAUGAUAUAUGAUGAACAAACCAAGAGCAUGCUAUCUCCUGAGAGCAGCAAAAUGAUCAUGGAUUAGAUGACUGAAGAACCAACCGGGAAUAUGCUAUCUCCUGAAAGCAGCAAAAUGAUUGCAAACAGUAAAGAACAAGUACAGCUAGGAGAAUGGAAAGAACCAAUGACCAAACAACAUGCUCAACCUGCAUUUACGAGGAACCAGAACCUUGCGGAACAUCAAACGAUAGCAAUACAAACAAUACUUUUGCAUUAAACAGAAAAGGAAAGCAUUAUUUGGCAUACAGAACCAUAAUAAUUGAUGGUCAACCAUAGCGUGCAAAAUUAUCUAUGCCAGUGAGGAUAUUGGUUAUUCUAAUCUCCUAAUACCUACUGACCUCCGUCUAACCAGAUCUGCAUUUGAGUGGCCUCAGAUUCGCCUUUGCACAAUUACACGACCCUUCCCCCGGUGUCUCCAUCACCAGAUCAAUCUGUUCUUACCUUGGUGAAACUGCCCUGGUUAUCACUCAUAAGAAAUGACCAUCCAAGGACAGGGCCACUAAAAUAAGCACAUGAUCAAAAUACCCACAAGCGCCUCGAUUGCUUGAGAAGUUGAGAGCAUGCUUAUAUCAGCCAUGGUCAAUCAUCAUAGCGCCGACUAAGGAUUUUGUUUCUUCGUUAUAGAGCUGGUUGCUAUAACCAGCUAUGAGCAACUCUAGCAGACUCGCCAAAAUGGGAAGUCCAUUCAGUUCAGCAACCACAAAUCGAGCUUAAUCAUAAAGCCAUGCACCAUUCGCAAACCAGGGUUAAUCUUUAUUGGUUGGUCACUACAUUUGCUAUAUCCGCUCGUCACAAAUUAAUUGGUUUCUCAUAAAUGAUUAUGCACUAAGCACUCUACAGCAACAACAACAACAACAAAGCCUUUUAGUCCCAAACAAGUUGGGGUAGGCUAGGGGUGAACCUGCAGAAAUAGAUAAUUGGCGAAUAUCAAGCCUUGUGCCACGAAGCAUAUCUUUUAUCCCAUGUCAAACAAAAACAAGGUUUAUCCCCCUCCACAUUACUCAAGAAAGGAAACGGAAACAGUGUUUCCAUGGCUCGGCAUCAAUAAUUCUUCAGUUGAACCGGUGCUCAGACCCGGUGCUUCCAACUCCAACAGCAUUGCUAAGCGCAUGUGCAUUAAUAACGAGACUACUGUUCAGAGAAAGCAAUGCCAGAUGAGCUUCAACAGCAUGUAAAUAUGAUAAUCAGGUUCCGUUGCUAAAGCUCUCUGGCAUUGUUUCUCUUGAUUAAUAGCCACAUCAAUAAUCACAUGCCCUUAGUAAUGUUGCCGGAGUUGGAAACUACUGGUCUGAGGACCGAUUCAGCUGGAGAAUUAUAACAGUCCAAGUUAUAACUGCCACUGGAAACGUUGUUUCCUUUCUUAAGGCGGAGAACCAAUGGGAUGAACCUUGAUUGACAUAGAAUAAAAUAUAUACUUUGUGACCCAAGGCUUAAUAUUUGCCAAUUUUUCUCAAACUGCAGCAUAAAAGUUUAGAUUCUUGGAACUAAGCGAAAGAUGUAAGAAAUAUUAGUAUAUGACUAUAUGUAGAUAAAUUACCGCAUCAUUAUUUAUUAGAAAUCAAUCAGUUUGUAACGAAUGGAUAUAGCAAACGUAGUUGACCAGCCAAUAAAGAUUCACCUUAGUGUUGUACAACUCCAUACAAAUCAUAUUUUUCAGGUCACUGAAGCAACAAAUUAUGCAUCAGCCAUAUACUUGGCUGCAUGGUGAAUUUGAUCAAAGAGAAGAAACAGAACUCACUCUUUAUCACUCUAUGCUGGGGGCUCAUGAAGGAAUUUAAAUUCAGCUCUAAUUGAUACUCCACGAUCCAUGAAUUCUUACAUGUAGAUGCACCAAGCAAUGCUUGAAACCACUUGAGCUGGUUACAGGAACUUCUAGAGUCUCUUCUCUCUCGUUUAUAGAAUCCUGUGAACCAAAGAGGAUGGUAACUGAGGCAGUGACGAAGAUGAUAAAGAUGAUGAUGCAAACAAGGUUCCAAUAUUUGUUGGUAACGCUCCGCCACUGACGGUGAGGUGGUGAUCUCCGGCUUACAAAAGCACAAUUUCACAACUAAAAUAGCUAGCGAUCAUUACCACAUAGCAGACAAGAUGGGCUUCUACAGAAAGAUGUGGCCUUCCCGGACCAUGUUUUGUCAAUAGACAAACUUGUGGUGGUAACCAAAAUCAUACUGAAUUCUGAUGUUUAAAUAGUUACUACUCCCUCCAUCCCAUAAUAUAAGAGCAUUUUUUACACUACACAUAAUUACCCCAAAGGCUUUGCUUAGCCAUAAUAUAAGAGUGUCAAAAACACUCUUAUAUUUUUCGGAUGGAGGGAGUACGUCUAAAUGGGCAAAGGCCGCGACUGUUAUAAGCUAACCAGGAAGAGUGCAAGACAAAGCAAUGCAAAAUUAUAUAUGUAAAGAGAAAGCUGCGACAACACAUAAUUACCCCAAAUGCUUUGCUUAGCAAAAAAAAGAAGUUUAGAAGCUAGUAAAAACACAUAUCCUUCAAAGUUCACCAACCUUUUGUCUAGUGCAUGAUCCAAAAAAAAUCAGUGGCAAACAGACAAAAUUGGGAAAAUCUUCGCAACGAACAAAAGAAAGCAAUAAGGAAAUAUCACCUUGAUGGCACAGAUUAACCCAGCCACUCUAUCAAAGCUGUCAAGUGUCAACACGUUGCUUAUGGUUACAAACAGCAACAUGCGACAUGCUACCUCAGUCACUCUUUACAUUAACAAUCCAGUACUAAAAAAACAGUAGCAUCGUUAUUUUGUAGCACGCGAGAACAAAUAGCUGCAACUGGCAACUUGUAGGAAACAAAUAAACAUAGUAUGGAAACUAAUUAAAACAAGUCAUCCAACCAAUACAUUUCUGAACGCAAGUCUUCCUAGUGUAACAAAGUGCAACUUGCUCAUAAAGAGAUUAUAUUAUACUAAGGAAAAAAACUUAAGAGAAGAUAAACCAAAAGUAUCUCCGGAGAGUAGCAAAAUGAUCACAAACAAUAAACAGUGAGUAGAACUAGGAAGGAAAGAUCAAAUGACCAAGCAACAGCCAAAAUAGUACCCAAAAAAUUAGAAGUAACCAGAAUCUUGCAGAACAUCAAGCAAUAGCAAUACAAACAAUAUUUUUUUUACAUCAACCAAAAAAGGAAAGGUAUUGUUUGGCAUACAGGAUCCGUAAGAAUUUGUGGUCAUCCAUAGAAACUUAAGGUGGAAUCAGAAUCUUGCAGAGCAUCAAUCAAUAGUGACGUCUACAUGCAAAAUCAUAUGAUAUAUGAUGAACCAACAAAGAGUAUGCUAUCUCCUUCGAUGUGUUCUUAAAAUCCUGCAAAUCAAAGAUGCACGAAACACAAAUACAGAACGGCAACAACAUGGUACAAUGUGCUUGAGACCAGAUCUGCAUUUGAGUGGCCUCAGAUUCGUCGUUGCACGAUCAUACGACCCUUACCCCAGUGUCUCCAUCACCAGAUCAAUCUGUUCAUACAUUGGUGAAACUGCCCUGGUUAUCACUCAUAAGAAAUGACCAUCCAAGGACAG